AAGAACGCCAUAUUGCUGCAUAGGACGUAAAAAUAGCGUACGCUCAUUGUCGAAAAAUUUUUACCACCUAUGUAGCCGCAUAAGCAUAUGCAUAAUAAGGUUAACCAAUCACGUGCUUAAUAUAAAGACUACAAAAUUGCUGCACAACUCAUAAGCAGAACAUGUGCAUAUGCAGAAAAAUUUUAUAUUGUUGAUAUAUUUAUUUAUUUCAUCUGUUGAAAAUACUCUCAAGAUGGAUUGUGAAUUAUCCAGUGACAAA
rnacentral:lncRNA from 13 species